ACAACAUAAAAGACAAAUUUUAAAAUAAAAAUAGAGAAUCGUAACCACUCCAAUAAUAAGAUAAGAAUAAGAUGAUGAAAACUUAGCAGUGGCGAAAGCGGCUGUGCAAAGCCAAUGGGCAUACUGAAAGCGGUGGCUGUAAUCUCCGGCGGUGACACCAACAACAACGUAAGGGGCUCUAUCCAAUUCCUCCAAGACUUCAAUGCAGGGGGCGCGGCGACCCUUGUGAAAGGAAGAAUAACAGGCCUGACUCCAGGCCUCCAUGGCUUCCAUAUUCAUGCUCUUGGUGACACCACCAAUGGCUGCAAUUCCACUGGGCCUCAUUUUAACCCACUGAAAAAGGAUCAUGGAGCACCAUCUGAUCAAAAUCGUCAUGCCGGUGAUUUGGGGAAUAUUAUUGCUGGUGCAGAUGGGGUUGCUGAGAUCUCAAUCAAAGACAUUCAGAUUCCACUUAGUGGUCCACACUCCAUCUUGGGGCGGGGGGUUGUUGUGCAUGCUGAUCCGGAUGAUCUGGGAAAAGCUAAUAAUUGAAGCAUACAACAGGUGGACAUGAACUUAGCAGGACUACUGGAAAUGCUGGUGCGAGGGUUGGUUGUGGGAUUAUUGGGAUUCAGUCAUCGGUCUAGGAUGGAUUCCUUGCAUUCAACAAUAACAAUAGAGUUGCUUGUUUUGUAAUUUUCGCAUGUAGUGUGAGAAGUAAAUGGUACAAUAGUUAUCUAUGCUCGCUCCGCAUUUGCCCAAGCGGUCAUCCUUUCCGUUUCUGAAGAUGUUAUAGAGCUGCUUGAUUGUUCAAUUCAUUGGUCCAUCCAAAUGGGAAAAAUAAUAACAGGAAUUGUAAUUAACCCUUCAAAAUAGUUUUUGGCAAACUUAUGAUUUUACUAGCUAUUGUUAUUCUCCAGUGUAUUCGUGAACACACAACCAAAGGCAAUUUGGAGAUAAAUGCUUUCAAAGAACUGCUACUUCUGCA